AACUUUCAACAACGGAUCUCUUGGUUCUGGCAUCGAUGAAGAACGCAGCGAAAUGCGAUAAGUAGUGUGAAUUGCAGAAUUCAGUGAAUCAUCGAAUCUUUGAACGCACAUUGCGCCCUUUGGUAUUCCAAAGGGCGUGCCUGUUCGAGCGUCAUUU
rnacentral:rRNA from 1 species